GCUAAUCAAACUAUCUUCCAUACGAGUUUACGAUCACAUAACACAGGACGACCAAUUUUUAUCAAAACAAUACAUCCCAAUGCUUGAUAAAACAAUACAUCCCAAUGCUUUAAAAUAUAGCCUACACAUCAUUCAGUUUGUCUCUAACUUAUACUUAUCAUAAUAACUAUUUCAACACAAAGUCAUCACCAAACAUGAACAUUUAUUUCAACCAAAAUUAAGACUAAAAUUCAAGUGCCUCGAAUAAUUCUGUUGCUGCAGCACCUUAACAGUCCCAUAAUACCAUACAAUGAUAAGAACUAAACUAUUAAAACACAGAAUCAAAAAAUACAGCUGAAGCACGAAUAACUGAUACUAUGCUUUUAAAACCAUCUGCUUUUCAUUUCACUCUUCAAAUCCAACUUCACAAUCAAUAGGGCUUAAAAAUGUGUACCUAGAAAUUGAAAUAGAAAUAGAAAGAUUGAGGGAUCAGUAGAGUAGCAGCAGAGAAUAACCCAUAUGCAGUCAAUGAAACAGUGAAACUAGCUCAAAUGCGGUCGAUGGAUUAGUAGGGGAGUAGCAAAUGCGAAAACCAACUUUAAACCAAAAACUUAAGCCAUUUUUUUUUUCAACAGAACAGUGAUCUAUAUCCUUCAGAUCAUCUUUUGAUUCUCAGAGUCUAUCCAAAUCUUUGAAAGUUUGAAAUGAAGAGACUAAUGGCCAAAUCAAAACCAGAAUGCAGAAUUUUUUAGUUUUUCUAUCUUAGCUUAGCCGUUUUUGAAUUUUCAACAUUUUUCUCUCUUCCAAAUCUGACUUGAAUAGCAAGUCAUGACGCCUUUAUAGGCAGGGCAUUAGGGCAGCUUAAAGAUAUCAGUCUUUGCAUUUUUCCCCUUUUGAAAUUUUCAUUAUAGCUCAGAUACCCUUAUUUAAUAAAUCAGAAAUUCAGAACAGCCCCCCUCCCCAACUUCAUAGAAGCUUCCUGUUUUGUACAUAAAGAUUCCCUGAGCUAAUUACCCAAAUUACCCCCUCACACCCCUACUAAUUACCCUUCAAAAUGUGGGUCAAAUUGACCCAACUAGAUUUGGUAUGGGUCUGUGAAUCCAAAUUAAAUCUCCACUUGGGCUCUUGACUUUUAGAAUCCAAUUCAAUUUAAGCAAAGAUUACCAAUUUAAAAACUGACCAAAUUCCCAAAAGAAGAAAUCCGGAAACUUUUUAAAAUGCAAUCAAACAAAGACGAGGGUGAAUGAAUUAAUUAGCUUAACUACAUAGCAAGAAAUUGACUAAAUUAUAGGCCUAAUUUACUAGGUGAUUAAACAGAAAAAACAUACCAGAAAAUUAGUCAUGCUUAACAAACUAAAGAAGUCAAAGAAACAGAUUUCACAAAGAAGAAGAAAGAAAGAAGAAAAGGAAAACAAAAUAAUGAACAGAAGAACAAGUUUGAACUCAGAAGGCGAAUCGAAUUUUUAGCCAGAUUAUUAUAAGAAAACUAGGGUAAAGAAAGGGAAAGAGGAGGAUAAUAAAACAAUGAGAGAAAGAAAACACAAAAAGGGAAAGAAACUUACCAAAUCAAGCCUCGAAACCACACGGAGAAAAAGGACCCAAUAAAACUAAUGCCGGUCAAUUGUUUUUUGUUAAGAACAAACUGAACAACAUCAGUCUUGCUGAGUCCGAACUUCAAAACUCGAAGAAACACCACCCUAUGACCAUGCAUGCUACCAAAUUUCAUAGAAAAUAACUUUUGGUUUUUUUAGGGUUUACUUUCGAUCUAAAAUUCGAGAAGUUCCGGGGGGAUUCGAAGCAAACGGAGUGGGGAUUUGGAAGGAGGGAGUCUUGGGGGUCACGGGGUGUUAUUUUGGUGGUGUUUGGAGCUGGCGCCGCCACUGGAGGGGAGGAACAUUUUAGGGCGGCGCUAGGGUUUGGAGGCUGAUUAUCUGAGAGAGAGUGGGUGAGAGAGACGAUGAAGGAGGG
rnacentral:lncRNA from 1 species